rnacentral:rRNA from 1 species
UACGUAGGGCGCAAGCGUUGUCCGGAAUUAUUGGGCGGAAAGAGCUCGUAGGCGGCUUGUCACGUCGGGUGUGAAAGCCCGGGGCUUAACCCCGGGUCUGCAUUCGAUACGGGCAGGCUAGAGUGUGGUAGGGGAGAUCGGAAUUCCUGGUGUAGCGGUGAAAUGCGCAGAUAUCAGGAGGAACACCUGAGGUGAAGACGGGUUGCUGGGCUGACACUGACGCUGAGGCGCGAAAGCGCGGGGAGCGAACGGG